CUUGCUCUACAGACCAGGCUGGCCUCAAACUCACAGAGAUCUGACUGCCUGUGCCUCCCACCACAUUCAACUUCAAAUUUCCAAAAUAUCAGAGGCUCUCUACAAAGUAGAUCUGCAAUUAGACCCACAUCUAAGGGCUGUGGUGUAGGUGCCACCCAGUCCGUGGCACUCUUUAGUAGAAGCUGCCCUCGGACCUCACACUCCAGAGUCCCCUUUCCUGUGACUGGGAGAAAGGUGUCCCAAUAACUUGAAGCACCCUUUGGAGCUUGGUGCAGCUUCCUAGGAAAUGCUCCAGCCCUUCCCACCGGAAGUCAUCUCCCCAAGUCUGGCUAAAGUCAUACCAUACUUGGCUUAACAUCUGGAGACCAGUCCCAUGUAGUGAUGGUGCUGGGCUGCCCCAUGGAGAGAGGGCCAGGUGCCCAGCACUGCCAGGACCGUGUGCCAGUUUGGAAGAGAUCCCAGGCCAAGCGGAAGAGCCCCGAGGAGCCACUGAGGCAGCUGUAUAAAAAACGACUUAUGGUCUUAAGCCACUAAACUUGGGGGCAAAUGUUUGCUUCCUUGGUGAUGAAUCCUAUAGUCUCACCUCUCAGACGGUUAUGGGCACACAUAAAUCAGGUGUUCUUCUGAAGAAUGGCAAGUCACAGGGUAUAGGAAGAGGGUGCACCGUAAAACCCCCCACCCCCAUUACAAUUGCGAUUGAGGCUCCUCAGGCAGCUGAGUCCCAGAAGCCGAGCCAAGUUGCUCUUUACCCCCCCAGUGAGCAGGAUCAAGCCAGGGGCGUUUGGCAGAAGAGAAAACCUACCCUCCCCUGUGCAGCAACGUCAGUCUUCCUACAGCAGAAGAAACAUGGACUUGGUCUGUGGCAUGGGCAUGGGGGUCACCCAGGGUACUGGGCCUGUCCUGCAUCCUUUGGUUCAAGCCUCUCACCUCUAGGCUUUGGACGCUGUCCUUCGGUGCUCCUGUGGCGGCCAUGCUGGAGGUCCCAAGGACACUGGAGGUCUCCCCCAUCCUUACCAUGCUGCCAAACCCCAGAGAGUCUGGGUCACCCCAGGACCGCCACAGAGAUGUUCAGACAAGCAGAUUUAAGUAAGGAGCUGCACUUCUGCUCUCUUGCAGGAACAGGGCUGUCUCCUGUGAAUGGAGCCCUUUCUUUUUCAGGGUCAUAGAUCUCGAGGGUUGAAAUGGGAGCUGACGUGUGUCUGUGUGGAGUGGAUGGAUGCGCCACACUUUGGUGGUUGGAAGCCAUAAGCACCGGCCUGGAGGUCUAACAUGGCUCCCACCUGCAGGUCCAACAAACCCACCAGAAGGAGCAGCUUUCCAAAGAAGGGUCUCAGGCCAGAACUGGCUGAAGUCCUGGAGCCUGGCCCUGUUGAGUGGAAAAAACUGUUCCCUGGGGGAACACUGACCUGCCACAAGCAGGGGCCUUCAGGCCAACUGGAAGCCGUAGCGGCUUGUCAGAACACAGAGAACAUUCAGUGGUUGAAGAAUUCCAAGUCGGAGCCACACUCCGCCCGAAGGGUGGGCUGGGUUUGCAGUGUCUUCUAGCUGUGUGACCUCAGGCAACGGCUCACCCUCUCUGUGCCUGAGUUCUUUCUUAACGCUUUUGAGACUUGCAGUAGACUUCUUAGGUCACCCACCAUGCACCAGAGGAGGGGAGCAAAGUUAGGAGGAGGUGGAGCAAGGAACUCCACCCAGUGGACCAACUGGAGCCCUGAACCAGCACAUCUGUUACCUGCUUCUCUAGGGGCCACAGGGUCUCCAUGUGCAGGGUCCACGGGCCACAAAGUCGCCUGGGGUUGGGCUGGAAGUGACUUCAACCUUCCACUUUUCUGAAGCCCUAUCGUUCGUGCGACUAGGAAAAGACAAUUAAUUCAAUUUCCCCUAAACUCUCCCAAACCAAGGGCCUUCUAUAGGGUCCGCUCAUCUGGGCACAUAUGCCUGCCGCUUUCCGGAGUUCUAACAUGAACUGUAAGAAACGGACAGCAGGCGGCGCUGUCUCCUCGUGAGAGAGAGCUAGGGACAAACUCCCAGGGUAGUCUCGGAGCUUCUCAGGCAGUUUCCGAGGUUCCCUCUCCUUUUCAAGGGUUGCCUGACCUUGAGCUCUCUCCCUGUAUUGACACCGCAACUAAGUAUGGCCUGUUGCUACCCCCACACACACACACCCGCCCUCUGCCUACCUGUUGCCCUGCCCUCCCUCCCGUGUAGCCGGAAGGUCACACUCAGGUCCAUCUGUCUGACCCAGCCCCACUACUGGAGCGAAUGCUGGGGUCCAGUGAGAGCCCAGGCCUGUCAGCUCCCCCCACCCCACCCCACCCCCGUCACAGAAACCCAGAGACAUCAUGUGCCCGUCUAGAACUUGCUUUCCAGGACACAUUCCCAAAGACAGUCGAGUUGUCCUUUUACAGGGACAUCUAAGAACCUGGCAUUCUUCCACAUGGUCGUGACCUGGGACAGUCAGGGAACAUGGGGUCCCUGCCUCCCCGGUGUGAUGUCAGUAGUUUUAAUAAGAUGCUCAGAGAGGUUUAGCAUAUGGUCCCUCCCCAGGCCAGUCCUGUGUCACCACAAGGCCACUGAACAACAGAACUAUGCUAGAGCAAUGCGGGCUGGGUCCCAGCUGUACUGUCUGCCCUAGCCAGGCAAACAGACCACUGAAAUGGCCCUGCCGGCACUAUGGCUGAGUUUAGAAGGGCUAACUCCUUGCUCAGUUCAGACUGCUACACCCCAUUGUCUCUCGGGUGACCCAAGCCCAGUGACAUCCCUUCAGGGGAUCCAUGUGAGCCUUCCAGGUACUAGAAACAGCGGCAGGACCCCGCAUCUGGUCUCAACAAAGCACGCACAGUCCCACCUUGGUAAGCCAACCCUUCCAUCAUGCUUUGCUCAAAGUGGGCGUCUUCUAUAUGGCCAGCCAGGUAACUGUGGACAGCAACUGGCAAUGGCAGGGCUGUGCCCACCUGUCCCCUAUGGAGGAGUCCAAUGGCAGGCAUCCACGGGUGCUCCCUGUGGGUGGAUUGGGCAUCUGUAGCCAUUACCUGUUGGAUCAUAUUCCUCUCUGGGCUGUCAAAGCAGGCCAGAAAGUAUCACAGGCUUGGGAGCAGAGAUCUAUGGUACAUGGCACCCUAAGAGUGAGACCCUGGUUACAAUACCCAUGGAAGAAAGUGGGGGGCGGGGGGGAGGAGUGGGCGGGAAGUCAGGAAAUACAAGCUGGAAAUAAAACUCAUUGUUAAAGCUCCA
rnacentral:lncRNA from 1 species